GUCCCUUCCGUGAAAUUCGAUAAAAUUGGAACGAUACAAAGAAGAUUAGCAUGGCCCCUGCACAAGGAUGACACGCACAAAUCAAGAAAUGGUCCAAAUUUUU